rnacentral:lncRNA from 1 species
AAAAAAAAAUAUGUGGGUUUCCCGACCCUACCUAGCUUUUGGACGUCGAAAUCCCGACCCUAAACUUUUUUAUUGGAUCAUGCUUGUAAGUGUUUCCACUUAGAGGAAAAAGUUUGUGGAAAAUUGAAAUUUGAGGCAAUAUUAGGGAAAUUUAUCUUUGGAAGUGGAAGCACUGACUAAACAAAAUGGCGUCCGCUUGUUCGGAAAAUUAAAAAAAAGUUUAAAAAAAAAAGUUAAAACCGACCUACC